CCCGUCUCUUCUACCCGAAUCCCCCCUCCCCCCCAAGCAGAGAGACCCCAGCAGCAGCAGCAGCUGAUGAUGAAGAGAGAGGCAGUGGCAGAGGGGGGGCACCUUUUAUUUCUAUUUUUAAAGGGACAGGACACUAAUUUUACCCCACUUCAACCUUGAAUUCAGGGGGGUGGGGGGAAGGCGGCUGAGUUCCUUCCCCCACCCUCCAGCCCCGAGACCUGAGAGGGGGAUUGAGCCUGAGAGAGAAGGAGAAGGAGUUUCUUCUUCUUCGAAAACCCUCGUCCACGACUCCUACCCCUUCACCCCUCCAGUAGCCUCCCUCCCGAGCCCCCUCCACCCUCCUCCUCUUAGGCCGUGAGAGGAGAGAAAGAGACCUAAAGCCUCUUAGCAACACAGACCCUUCUUUGCUGCUGCUGCUGUUGCUGUUGCUGCUGCUGCUGCUGUUACUGCUGCUUGGCCCUGGCUGGAGACAUCUCACUACACCCAGGAGCAGCCACUUCCCCACUCUCCUCCUCCUUCCCUCCUCCUCCACUCCCCCCCUUUAUUACCCUUUGUGUCAUCCUCCACAGCUCCAGGGAAGGCACUCCAAAGUGGGGGGCAGGAAAGAUGCUUUUUGAGAAUACCAGUUUCUGCAUAUGGGAAGUAGAUAUUGAAAGUUAUAUGGUUUACAGACAAUAUCUUUAAAAGACAGACACUGAAGGAAAUUAACUACUGCCAUUCAGGUGAAAAUAACUAGAAAACUCACAGAAGGAUGAGCAGUGAGCAUUGAAGGGGUUUAAUUGUAAAACAAGAUGAAAACAAAGGGAA